UUUAUGGAGAGUUUGAUCCUGGCUCAGGAUGAACGCUGGCGGCGUGCCUAAUACAUGCAAGUCGAGCGAACGGACGAGAAGCUUGCUUCUCUGAUGUUAGCGGCGGACGGGUGAGUAACACGUGGAUAACCUACCUAUAAGACUGGGAUAACUUCGGGAAACCGGAGCUAAUACCGGAUAAUAUUUUGAACCGCAUGGUUCAAAAGUGAAAGACGGUCUUACUGUCACUUAUAGAUGGAUCCGCGCUGCAUUAGCUAGUUGGUAAGGUAACGGCUUACCAAGGCAACGAUGCAUAGCCGACCUGAGAGGGUGAUCGGCCACACUGGAACUGAGACACGGUCCAGACUCCUACGGGAGGCAGCAGUAGGGAAUCUUCCGCAAUGGGCGAAAGCCUGACGGAGCAACGCCGCGUGAGUGAUGAAGGUCUUCGGAUCGUAAAACUCUGUUAUUAGGGAAGAACAUAUGUGUAAGUAACUGUGCACAUCUUGACGGUACCUAAUCAGAAAGCCACGGCUAACUACGUGCCAGCAGCCGCGGUAAUACGUAGGUGGCAAGCGUUAUCCGGAAUUAUUGGGCGUAAAGCGCGCGUAGGCGGUUUUUUAAGUCUGAUGUGAAAGCCCACGGCUCAACCGUGGAGGGUCAUUGGAAACUGGAAAACUUGAGUGCAGAAGAGGAAAGUGGAAUUCCAUGUGUAGCGGUGAAAUGCGCAGAGAUAUGGAGGAACACCAGUGGCGAAGGCGACUUUCUGGUCUGUAACUGACGCUGAUGUGCGAAAGCGUGGGGAUCAAACAGGAUUAGAUACCCUGGUAGUCCACGCCGUAAACGAUGAGUGCUAAGUGUUAGGGGUUUCCGCCCCUUAGUGCUGCAGCUAACGCAUUAAGCACUCCGCCUGGGGAGUACGACCGCAAGGUUGAAACUCAAAGGAAUUGACGGGGACCCGCACAAGCGGUGGAGCAUGUGGUUUAAUUCGAAGCAACGCGAAGAACCUUACCAAAUCUUGACAUCCUUUGACAACUCUAGAGAUAGAGCUUUCCCUUCGGGGACAAAGUGACAGGUGGUGCAUGGUUGUCGUCAGCUCGUGUCGUGAGAUGUUGGGUUAAGUCCCGCAACGAGCGCAACCCUUAAGCUUAGUUGCCAUCAUUAAGUUGGGCACUCUAAGUUGACUGCCGGUGACAAACCGGAGGAAGGUGGGGAUGACGUCAAAUCAUCAUGCCCCUUAUGAUUUGGGCUACACACGUGCUACAAUGGACAAUACAAAGGGCAGCGAAACCGCGAGGUCAAGCAAAUCCCAUAAAGUUGUUCUCAGUUCGGAUUGUAGUCUGCAACUCGACUACAUGAAGCUGGAAUCGCUAGUAAUCGUAGAUCAGCAUGCUACGGUGAAUACGUUCCCGGGUCUUGUACACACCGCCCGUCACACCACGAGAGUUUGUAACACCCGAAGCCGGUGGAGUAACCUUUUAGGAGCUAGCCGUCGAAGGUGGGACAAAUGAUUGGGGUGAAGUCGUAACAAGGUAGCCGUAUCGGAAGGUGCGGCUGGAUCACCUCCUUUCU
rnacentral:rRNA from 1 species